ensembl:misc_RNA
UUGGCUUGUUCAAAUCAGUGUCCAAAUUCUUUCCCUGCACUUUCAUGGGGGCACUGGGAUGAUGGCAG